AGUGAACGCUGGCGGUAGGCCUAACACAUGCAAGUCGAACGGCAGCACAGUAAGAGCUUGCUCUUACGGGUGGCGCGUGGCGGACGGGUGAGGAAUACAUCGGAAUCUACUUUUUCGUGGGGGAUAACGUAGGGAAACUUACGCUAAUACCGCAUACGACCUACGGGUGAAAGCAGGGGAUCUUCGGACCUUGCGCGAUUGAAUGAGCCGAUGUCGGAUUAGCUAGUUGGCGGGGUAAAGGCCCACCAAGGCGACGAUCCGUAGCUGGUCUGAGAGGAUGAUCAGCCACACUGGAACUGAGACACGGUCCAGACUCCUACGGGAGGCAGCAGUGGAGAAUAUUGGACAAUGGGCGCAAGCCUGAUCCAGCCAUACCGCGUGGGUGAAGAAGGCCUUCGGGUUGUAAAGCCCUUUUGUUGGGAAAGAAAAGCAGCAGGUUAAUACCCCGCUGUUCUGACGGUACCCAAAGAAUAAGCACCGGCUAACUUCGUG
rnacentral:rRNA from 1 species